rnacentral:rRNA from 1 species
AGUACUGUAAGAAUAAGCACCGGCUAAUUCCGUGCCAGCAGCCGCGGUAAUACGGAAGGUGCAAGCGUUAUCCGGUUUUAUUGGGUUUAAAGGGUGCGUAGGCGGCUUAUUAAGUCAUUUGUGAAAUCCUGGUGCUUAACGCUAGAACUGCAAUUGAUACUAUUAGGCUUGAGUUAAGAAUAGGAAGGUAGAAUUUAUGGUGUAGCAGUGAAAUGCGUAGAUAUCAUAAGGAAUACCAAUAGCGUAGGCAGCUUUCUGGUCUUUAACUGACGCUGAGGCACGAAAGCGUGGGGAGCAAACAG